AAGGGACAGGGAAGGGACACUGGGGACACACUGGGGACAGGGAAGGGACACAGGGGACAGCCAGGGGACACAGGGGACACACAGACUGUCCCCAAACGGUGCAGCUCCUCCAGGUAAGGGACACACUGGGGACACUGGGGACAGCCAGGGGACACAGGGGACACACAGAGCAGGGACUGUCCCCAAACGGCGCAGCUCCUCCAGGUUCAUCAAGCGUCGGAAGUUCGAUGACGAGCUGGUCGAGUCCAGCCUGGCCAAGCUCCCAGUUAAUCCCAGUUCCAUCCCAGUUAACUCCAGUCCAUCCCAGUCAAUCCCAGCUCACUCCCAGUCCCUCCCAGUGCCUCCCAGUGACUCCCAGUCUGUUCCAGGUUCAUCAAGCGUCGGAA
rnacentral:lncRNA from 1 species